rnacentral:rRNA from 1 species
AGGGCCGCGGUAUUUUGACCGUGCGAAGGUAGCAUAAUCAAUAGCCUUUUAAUUUGGGGCUGGAAUGAAUGGUCGGAUGAGGUAUAAGCUGUCUUUAUUCUAUAAUAUAAUUUAACUUUUAAGUGAAAAGGCUUAAAUUAUAUGGUGGGACGAUAAGACCCUAUAAAACUUUAUAUAGAUAGUUUUAAUUUAAAAAUUUAGUUUAACUUUAGUUAUAAUUAAUUAUAUUUUGUUGGGGAGACAGGAAUAUAAUUAUUAACUGUUCAUGAAGUUUAAUAUAUAUAAAUAGGUUAUGAUCCUUUUAUAGUGAUUAAAAGAGUAAGUUACUUUAGGGAUAACAGUGUGAUUUCUUUUGAGAGUUCUUAUCGACAAAGUUAGUUGCAACCUCGAUGUUGAAUUAAAAUUUUAGGAAGGUGAAGCAGCUUUUCUUGUGGGUCUGUUCGACCCUUAAAAUUUU